UAUAAAAAUGCAGAGUUUCCACAGUUUUUGAUUUGCUUUCCUUUCAUUGUUUUUAAGAUAACCUCUUAUCUUGAAGUCUGUAUUUGCAUAUUGAAUUUGCAUCUUUUCAUGAAGUCUACUAAACCAUUUACUUGAGGGAGCAAAUCCCCAUAGCAAUCCUGCUCUGGAAAUUUUCUGACACGGACAGAGGUGGCAGCAGAGAGCACUGUGGUCAGACUGGAAAGAACUACAUAACUUUCUCUGUAUUAUACAGCAGCUGAUAAAGUACCCCUUUAACUAAUGGAAAGCAGGAUCCAGUUACUCGUAUGAAGUCAAGAAGGAAGGAAUAACAUAUUAUCAAGCAACCUUAGGAAUUAAUGCUUUCUCCAUGGAACAGAAGCGGGUUUUCUGCUGAACACUGAAUGGUUUCAGAACUCAAGAACUAUUCCGUCUCUCACAGUUGAAGAGUACCUUUUAAAUAAAUAACAGACCUCUACAUGCUUUGUAAGAAUGAAAACCUGCAAAAUCGGCAUUGUAUGAAAUACUUGUUCUCCCCACUGUAAAUGAUACCUUAUCCAGGGAGUGCUAAUGCACAGCAAGCAACGUGAACCCUGUGUAGUCUGACUGUAGUAGCUUUGGAUAAAAGGAAAACCUUUCUGAGGUGUUGAUUUGUUGUACAAUCUGUCGCAGUUGAUGUUUAGAGACUUUUCAUUG